rnacentral:rRNA from 1 species
GACGAACGCUGGCGGCGUGCCUAACACAUGCAAGUCGAGCGAAUGAAGUUCCUUCGGGAAUGGAUUUAGCGGCGGACGGGUGAGUAACACGUGGGCAACCUGCCUCAUAGAGGGGAAUAGCCUUCCGAAAGGGAGAUUAAUACCGCAUAAGAUUGUAGUACCGCAUGAUACAGCAAUUAAAGGAGCAAUCCGCUAUGAGAUGGGCCCGCGGCGCAUUAGCUAGUUGGUGAGGUAACGGCUCACCAAGGCGACGAUGCGUAGCCGACCUGAGAGGGUGAUCGGCCACAUUGGGACUGAGACACGGCCCAGACACCUACGGGAGGCAGCGGUGGGGAAUAUUGCACAAUGGGGGAAACCCUGAUGCAGCAACGCCGCGUGAGUGAUGACGGCCUUCGGGUUGUAAGGCUCUGUCUUCAGGGACGAUAAUGACGGUACCUGAGGAGGAAGCCACGGCUAACUUCGUGCCAGCAGCCGCAGUAA